rnacentral:tRNA from 3 species
GGGGAUAUAGUAAAGUGGUAUUACGGCGCAUUCGCAUUGCGCAGGCCCGGGUUCGAUUCCCGGUAUCUCCACCA